CCAAACAAAAUUUUUCUACAAUGGAUGAAUUCAUGUCAUUAUUGCUCACGUAGUUUCUCUUUGAAAUGUUUUCCUUUGGUGGACGAGGAAAAGAUAGUAGAUGAGAAGAUAGUUACCAAUUGGUUAGAGAAUUUUAUCUAAAAUCUAGUCUUGUGAGCAGUAGCGGCACCAUAAGAGAGGUGAUCUUCCUGCAGUUUUCUGGAUUUGAAAGAUUGAGCAUGUUGGUUGGUAAUGGAGCCUCACUAAAAGAAAUAGGAUAUCCUGCAUUGUGGAGGAGCCUUGGAAACGGGGCCAGGGGGAAGCCUUGAGUGUAGACUGUAGAGGCUCUUGCCAAGCAGGUGGUGAUGGUGGAGAGCCAGUUCCCCUGAUGGCUCACAUGGCAAGAACUUGUAAUCCAUAUACCAGACAACCAUUGCGGAAGACAUUUCAUGGUGGUAGAUAGAACUCUUUGUUAGAGAGCAUGCUGAUAUUGGAGAUUGCUGAUACGAGACUUUGGUCAGUGUCUGGGUAUUCCAACGGGUAUUUAGUGAAUUUUAGUCCAUCUCAAGGUAUUGAGAUGGUGUAAAUGCUUAGUAU